AAGCACGUAGGUGGGUUUGUAAGUCAGAUGUGAAAGCCUUCUGUUCAACGGGAGAAUUGCAUCUGAAACUACAGACCUUGAGUAUAGGAGGGGAGAGUGGAACUUCUGGUGGAGCGGUGAAAUGCGUAGAUAUCAGAAGGAACGCCGGCGGCGAAAGCGAUUCUCUGGCCUAUUACCGACACUCAGUGUGCGAAAGCUAGGGGAGCAAACGGGAUUAGAUACCCCGGUAGUCCUAGCCGUAAACGAUGGGCACUAAGUAGAGGGGUUUU
rnacentral:rRNA from 1 species